rnacentral:rRNA from 1 species
UACGGGGGGGGCAAGCGUUGUUCGGAAUUACUGGGCGUAAAGGGCUCGUAGGCGGCCAACUAAGCCGGAUGUUAAAUCCCCAGGCUCAACCUGGGAACUGCAUCCGAUACUGGAUGGCUUGAAUCCGGGAGAGGGAUGCAGAAUUCCAGGUGUAGCGGUGAAAUGCGUAGAUAUCUGGAGGAAUACCGGUGGCGAAGGCGGCAUCCUGGACCGGCAUUGACGCUGAGGAGCGAAAGCUAGGGGAGCAAACGGG